CAAGGCAGUCCAGUCCUCCAGCGUGGCUGGGGCUGCAUUGCCAGUAAAUAUAUUAACCUACCCAGGGCCGCAGCACAUGGCCCAGGCACCUGGUUCUCCUGGCUUCCAUCGCAGGCAGCCGGGGCAAAGUGCUCAGAAGGGACGAACUGUGGGAAGGAGGUGGGUCAGCUCGGAGGAGGAAGAGGCAGGGGCACCACCAGGACAGAGGAGAGAAGAGUGGCUGGAAGGGGACCUGGUGUUCUGCACCCUGCUGUCACCUCUGUGCUCCUGGGAGCCUGCAAAAGAAGCCCGGCUUGGAGGAAGGGUGAAAAGCAAUGGAGAAGGGGGUGAUACAGAUGGAGCAAUGGAUGGACAGUUGGAUAGGUGGAUGGAUGGAUGAAUGGAUGGAUGGAUGAUGGAGGAUACAUCAACCCAUCAAUCAAUGGAUGAGUCAAUGGAGACUUCAUUUUACUCCUUGAAGGUAAAAAUUGCCUUGAGCAUAUUAAAUGUUUAAUUAUAUGUUAAAUGAAUAAACAAGAGGAUGUAAUGUUGUCUACAGCACAUCUGAUAGCAAAAAUAAUUGAGCAAAUGUCUUAAACAUUUUGGAGUUCUUUGAUCUAAUCAUUUUGCUGAUCAGAUCUGGCCUAGAAACAUAUCAGGAUACAGGGGUGACACAGGACACAGGUGUUCACUGUGGUUUUGCUUACAAUAAUAAAAGUUGGGGGGCAGCCCUCCAAAAGGGACAACAGAGGAUCUUGAUACAGCUACAUAGAAACAUUAUGACUGAAUAUGACAGGGAAAAGAUGUUUUUAAUUAUGUGAGAAAAUUCUCAGGAUGGAAGGAAAAUGCAAAAUCAAAUCAUUAGUAUAUGAAAAUCUGUAUGCAAUGUGAACUUACUAAUGUUUGCUUUUUUUUGAGUGUGUGGGAAAAUGACUUAGAAAAAAUGACGUCUGGGCAUUUCUAAGUGGUAAGACAUUGUUGUUUCCUGCUUUGUUAUACAUUCUGCGGUAACUAACCAUUUCACAGCAGUAAUGUAGUACUUUAAUUAUCAGACAAAGAAAUGGCAUCCCUGCUUUACCAACAUCAAGCAAAAAAGAAGUGGAUUCUCUAAAACCUAAUGGUGGUGCCAGUUAUGUGACCGUGGCAAUCAGUUCCGAGGUAUUACAUCUCGAAGUUUCCCCUUUUCCAUCCUUAUAAACUCCUGUGUCCCUUGAGCAAAGUGGUACUGAGAGGCUCAGUGGGACGAUCUGUUUGUUCUUUGGAGCAGUUCUGUCACUCAGCUGCCGGGUUUACCGGGCAUCUGCUUUGGCAGGGUGAGCAGUGGGCUUCGAGGGAGCCUGAGCUCUCAGGACUGCCAACCACCCACCCAAGGGAGGGGUGAGAAGGGUGCCCGAGCCAGGCUUGGCAGUGCACAUCUGUCAGCUCGGCACUCUGGGAGGCUGAGGUAGGAGGAUGGCAAGUUCCAGUCUAGCCUUGGCAACUGAGAAACUUAGCAAGACCCUGACUCAGAAGAAAAAAUUAAAAAAAGCUGAGGAUGCAGCUGCUCCAUGAGAAGGCCCUGGGCUUAGUCCCUGGAACUGAAGAGAAAAACAUAAAGAAUAUCUGGUAUCUCUGAAGUUCUUACUUCGUAUUAGACUUUGCGAUGCAUUAAAACUAAUUUGAAUCCAGCCCUAAAAGGUAAGAACUAUCUAUAUUUUAUAGAUGGAGAAACUGAGGCUCAGAGAGGCCAGGUAACUUGCCCAAGGACACGCAGUGAGGAUGUGGCAAUGCUACACUAGAGCUGAUGGCUUCAAUGACAAGGUCAUCUUCUCUCUGCAACCUUCUUCAAUCUAGAGAUGAUGAUGGUGAUCGCAGUUACUCAGGGAAAAAGAGCAAACAAGAAACAAUAAAAAGAUAUAGCUUCAGGGUCUGGGAAGUUCUGAGAAGAAUACCAAGCAAGGUGAGAGACAGGAGGUGACAGAUGUGGAGGGAGCAGCUUGGAUAGGAUGGGUUCAGGGACACCUUCCAUGAAUUGUGACAUUGCAGGAACAAACCAUGUGAGGAACCAGCGGGAGCAGACCAUGCAGCAGGCAUUGCACAUGCAAAGGCCCUGGGGGAGUGUAGGGGAGGAGCUUGGUACCAGCAGAGGGAAGGAGGAGGCCACAGCUAAAGGAGGGAGUGGGAGGAGGCCAGAGGUGCUGGGAGGCAGGGAUGAAGAAAUGCAGCAGGGCCUGGCUGAGAGGGACCCAGGGCACGGCGGGGCGAGGACGGAAGAGGCCAGUGCCGCUGUCCAGGUGAGGUGUGAGUGAGGCUCAGACAGUUAUGGAGAAGCAGCCCCCUUCCUCGAACGGCACAUGACGCCGUCUCAUUAAGUGGAAACUGUUUCCUCUGAGGUGAUUCAAACUCCCUGGCUCUGGGCGACACAGCUUCCUCUCAGACUUGGCAGGCCUUCGAGGUGAGGCAGAGGCCGCCGAGGGCAAGAACCUGGAGCUCUCCAUCCCGCCAGGACUGCCGUCAAGGGCUGCUCAACCAGGGACCAGGGAUGAGGAGCCCCGCCCCACCCUGGGAGCGCUCCCUCGGUGGACUGGAUCCACUGCCACGGGCUCCCUCUUAGGAUCAUUUGUGGGCUUUGGUUGUCCUUUGAGCAGAGAACUCCAGUUGCAGUUGAGACCCCUGAAUCUCAGAGAGGCCAGGUCACCAACCUAAGGUCACACAGUAAAUUAGCCAUUAUCGCACAGGGGCUGAGUGACAGGGCUCGGGUCUGAACUGUGACACCCAUCCCAGGCUCACAAUUUAACCACCACCUGUUCUCUUCGGUGUGGUCCAAAAGGGCAGAGAGAGGCCCAAUUUACAGAACUUAGAAGGGACCAGGAUGAAGGGAUUCUUCAAGAGUAAGAGUUCUUAAUAACGAAAAUUGGCUAUAGGCAUGGAUUCGUGAGCUCUGCAUCCUUGGAGGCAACCAAGCAAAAACUAUUCAAUCACCGCGUAUGCAUGUGUCCAGCCUUUCAGUGUGGUUUAACCUGGAUGAUCUGCAUUACCUCUUCCAACGUUAAUAUGUAGGCAUGAGUCAUCCACUUAGUCCAAUACUGAUAUGGUUAGUUGUUGAGCAUCUACUAUGCACUAGGUUUUCAGUUAAAUGCUGGGUCACAAAAGAGCAAAGUAUCAGUAUGGUUCCAGUCAUCACAGAGCUUACAGUAGAUACGAUGCCACAUGCAAGCUGGUAGCAUUUGUGGUUUUAUUGGAGGUGGUGCCCACACUAUGGAACUAUUCACAGUUUUGAAUCAUCAAACUGUCCUCAGGGAGGGGUCAGCAUUUUUGCUUUCCACAAGAGGAAACUGAGGCACGGAGCAGUGCAGGGAGGAACCUGGCCAAUUGGUGUGUCAGUAGUGGAGCCAGGACAUAACCUUUGCUCUGUCAAAAUGUCCCCAGAAUGUGUUUAUGUUCCCAGAGAAGAUUAGGGUGUCUGGAAGGUGCUCACCUCCCCCGACACCUCCCUGCAGACCCCGCCCUGGGGCCGGAAGCCCCCAUCCUCCCUCCAAGGCAGCAGGAGACCUUGGCCUAGAGCCCAGCCACAUCUUGCCCAGCUCAAUGCAUAUUUUCAAUUAAAGUCAUACUUCAUUUUAAAUUAAGGGGAUUUUUUAAAAAAUAAAAUAUCUACAACAUUUAAAUAUCAUUAGUAAUUACACUUUAUUUUAUUUCGAACUGCUUGGGAACAUUUUAUUUGUAAUUAUGUACAUUUGUUUGUAAUGCCGUUUACUGAAGGGAAGGAACCGGACGGAAUGAGUGUGGGAUGCUCUGGGCCCUCCGUGUGAUCCGUGGGAGGGGGGUCCACAGAGAUCAUAAGGCCCCAGACUGGCCUGCGGUGCUGUCUCUUCAAAUCUCACCGCUCUGAGACUAGCGUCUCCCUCCUUUCUAUUAGCCAUCAAAGAAGAAAAGCAAACACUGGACACUCAUAGUAAUUACUGCAACUUUUGUAACGUUCAGUUCUAUCUAAAGGCCCUGUGCUGAGCAUUCGACACUUGAACUGCCUGCCGCAGCUUAGGAAGCCAAGGGUCAGCUCACACGGAGGGAGCGUUGCCCAGUGCUGUGGACGCUAUCCAGCGAUUUGCCUCAUUUCCAAGGGAAAUUGUUGCAGUUACUUUUCAUCUCUCCUCGGUUCUAUAAUCCAACACGUCCUGGACAUUUUCAGUGUCCCGUGACUCAUUCGACCGCAGAUCCUGGGCUCACCUGAUGGGACUCCUCCGGGGUCCUGCACAGUAGGGACCGCAAGGGUUUGCUCUGACAUCAGUGGCUGCUCUGCACGCUGGUGGAAAGACCUUGCUGAAACCUGCAGCAAGCUGGCCCUGAGAGAUUGGAGCUGUGAUUGGGAACCUCUCGACUGCUCUAUCUGGGUCCUGGUGGCCAUCCCAUAUGUUCGUCCCCUCCCCUGAAUCCAAGUGCCGGGGUGAGGAUCCCCACUGAGCUUACCGGUCGCUACAGUAGUUGGCUGGCUCAACCUUACACCCUUCACCUUAAAGGCUGAGCUGGGAACUGACCAGGAGGGAUCUCAGAUGUCAUGGAGAAUCUGUACUUCAAAGUUUGGGGUGUUUUCAGAUAAAAUGUAGGUGUCUGAGCUCUACCCCAUGGUGGUGUGGUCUCUGGAGCAGGCAGCCUGACACCCAAGUAAGGCCUUCACACCUCAGGUAGAUCUCACGUGCACAUGCGCAUACACAAACACACAGCGUCAGCCUCUGUAUCUGCUCCUUCCACAUCUGUACGUCCUUUUUUGUUUUUGUUUUUGGUACCAGGAAUCUAACACAGGACCCUGCACUUGUGAGGCAGGUGUGGUGUCGCUGAGCUAAAUCUUCAACCCCCACAUCUGUACAUUCAACCAACUGUGGAUCAAAAAUAUGCAGGAAGAAAAUCGUGUCUGUGUUGAACAUGUACAGACUUUUUUGUUGCCAUUAUUCCCUAAACAAUUGCAGUGCAGCAACUAUUUCCAUAGCACUUGCACUGCAUCAGUUGUGACAACUCAUCUAGAGAGGAUGUGGGUGUACAGAAAGCUCUGUGGGGGUCACAUGCAGACUCAAGCCAUGUAACAGCUAGGGCAUCCACCAUUCUGCCCUUCCACCGGGGCCACCGACUGUCCCCAGCAGUGACCAACACCCCAACACAACACCCAGCUGGAGGGCCCUGUGUCAGGCCUCUUGGGGAAAUUGGAACCUGCCAAUGGCCAGCUGGAGCACUGCUGAGACC
rnacentral:lncRNA from 1 species